GGGGGUGAAAUUGGCUUCGACGGGAUUAAAGAGGCAUUAAACUGCGCACCGUGUUUUCCGCAGACACGUAAAACGGUGGAAAAAACUUUAAUUGGCGAAAACGAAUACGCCUUAGCUGCGUAAAUAAUUACACAGCCGUUCUCUAUUCUCUCUCAUACCGGGGUUUAGAUGAACGACGUUAAGGUAUGAUAGCUGAAUCAGCCGCCCUUGUUGAUAAGGCGAAUCCGCUUUCAGCGGUUUAAUGGGCAGGCUUAAUGUGAUCCUUGUUUGUUUGGUAGCAUUAGGUUAAAACAAAAACAAACUAUGUGUGUAGAAGUUUUUUGGAUCUUAAUUUCGGACGCGGGUUCGACUCCCGCCACCUCCACCC
rnacentral:tmRNA from 1 species